rnacentral:rRNA from 1 species
UCGAGGAUCUUCGGCAAUGGGCGCAAGCCUGACCGAGCGACGCCGCGUGAGCGAUGAAGGCCUUCGGGUCGUAAAGCUCUGUCGAGGGGGAGAAAAGGGCAACCUUGAUCGACCCCUGGAGGAAGCACGGGCUAAGUUCGUGCCAGCAGCCGCGGUAAGACGAACCGUGCGAACGUUAUUCGGAAUCACUGGGCUUAAAGGGCGCGUAGGCGGGCCGGAAAGUCAGGGGUGAAAUCCUCCAGCCCAACUGGAGAAGCGCCUUUGAUACUGUCGGCCUCGAGGGGUGCAGGGGCAUGCGGAACUCAGGGUGGAGCGGUGAAAUGCGUAGAUAUCCUGAGGAACACCGGUGGCGAAAGCGGCGUGCUGGACACCUUCUGACGCUGAGGCGCGAAAGCCAGGGGAGCGAACG